rnacentral:rRNA from 1 species
AUUGAACGCUGGCGGCAUGCCUUACACAUGCAAGUCGAAUGGUAACGCGGGGCAACCUGGCGACGAGUGGCGAACGGGUGAGUAAUAUAUCGGAACGUGCCCAGUAGUGGGGGAUAGCCCGGCGAAAGCCGGAUUAAUACCGCAUACGACCUACGGGUGAAAGGGGGGGAUCGCAAGACCUCUCGCUAUUGGAGCGGCCGAUAUCAGAUUAGGUUGUUGGUGGGGUAAAAGCCCACCAAGCCGACGAUCUGUAGCUGGUCUGAGGGGACGACCAGCCACACUGGGACUGAGACACGGCCCAGACUCCUACGGGAGGCAGCAGUGGGGAAUUUUGGACAAUGGGCGCAAGCCUGAUCCAGCCAUGCCGCGUGCGGGAAGAAGGGCCUUCGGGUUGUAACCGCUUUGUCAGGAGAAUCCUUUGAGUUAAUACCUCGGGGGAUGACGGUACCUGAAGAAUAAGCACCGGCUAACUACGUG